rnacentral:lncRNA from 1 species
AAAUCCACUUAUAAAAAACACUGUAAACCACUAAUAAAUACACUGUAAUUUCAACAGUUUUACAGUGUAAAAUCAACUCAAAAAAGUUAACUGCAUUGACAAAAUGCACUGGAACAACCACAUAUACAUGGACGAACAUGGAGAAGCACCACCAGAGAGGGUGAUUCCUCCAAGAUCUGCUACACAAACUUCAACAACAUGGCUAGAGAAGCAGGAAAAACAUAGGUAAACACCCCUUCUCGCCCCCUCCUAUGCGUUCAUCACCUCCUAUCGUCUCCCUCCUGCCUGAAGAAAUCUGGAAGAAAGAACAGAUGAAAAAAGAACAUAAGCACACUAAGAAAGAACCAGCACAGAUCCUAGGAACAACCAGAACAUGGUCGCAUGUACUACUAGUCUAUGAUCACAAGAACACUAUAUACUGAAAACUAGAUGCCCAGAUCAUUGGUUUCUAGAUUUGCAGAAUAGGAACACACUACAGGGGACAAAAACACACUCAAAGAUCACUAGGCUAGCAAUUCCAUUUAGGGGACAAAUACAAGGGACAAAAACACACUACUAGGCUAGCAAUUCCAUUUAGGUAAAACUAGUUGAAAAUAUACAAGGUUGAGGAUUACUGCAGUUGAGAGAAUAUGUGACUAUUUCCACAAACUUUGGAAACUAAAAAACUAAAACACUAUUAAGAAACUUUGAUCUACUAGUUUAGACACUUCCUGUUGAAUGACCGAAUACAAGUAACUUUGGAAGUGUAAACUGCUAUGAACUGAUACUUGUUUACACUGAAUAUUGAUUAGCAUUAACAUAAACACUGAAAAUAGAAGUUAUCAGAAAAAAUGAGUAACACAAUCAGGCUAAAAACACUAAAGAUUACAGUGUAAAACCCACAAAGAAUUAUAGUGUAACUCUACUAAGAAUAACACUGUAAUCCAAUAAAGAUUACAGUGUAAAUACACCAAAAUUGUCAAUCUCUUUGCUACAAGAAUAGCUUAACCAAAAGGAAGACAAAGUACAAACCAUGUUACAGCAGUACGGAUUGAACCAAGUUCACCUAAAAAAGGGUCCGUGAAAAUUACAUCAAAGCCAAACUCCCCUAGCCUCCUUUACAACCCACACAGGCAAAGCAGCGAGAAAGGAGAAAAAGAACCCAACAUUACAAGGCAAGAAUUUCCCAUCUCUAAUCUAAAACUAACCACACACAAUUAAAAAGGAAAUGACAAAAACCACUAAAAUUACACUAUAAAAUCAACUAAAAUUACAUUAAGAUUUACACUAUAAAUACCGCUGUAAAACCAGCUUGAAUCCACUGUAAAAUCUACUACACUAAGAAAAACACUGAAAAUCCGGUAGGAAUUACAGUGUAGAUCCAGUAGGAAUUACACUGUAAUUCUACCUAGAUUUACACUGAAAUCGACCUAGAAUUACAGUGUAAAAUAUAAUAGGAAUUACAGUGUAAAUGUACCUAGAAUUACACUGUAAAAUCGACCUACAAUUACAGUGUAAAGAUAGUAGGAAUUACAGUGUAAAUGUACCUAGAAUUACACUGUAAAAUCGACCUACAAUUAUAGUGUAAAUAUAGUAGGAAUUACACUGUAAUUUUACCUAGAAUUACACUGUGAAAUCGACCUAGAAUUACACUGUAAAAUUGACCUACAAUUAUAGUGUAAAUAUAGUAGGAAUUACAGUGUAAAUGUACCUACAAUUACACUGUAAUUCUACCUAAAUUUACACUGUAAAAAUCAAGACUCACAGCGAAUGCAUAGUGACAACCGCCAAAUGUCAUUGAUCUCAUAGAAGCAACCUUCAUAGAAUCCUUAAACUUCUUAAUAUUGCCAAGGAGACUCUCAUAUACCAAUCUAGAUAAAUCAUAGUUCAUCACAGAACUACAAUCUCUAAAAAUGUGGAGAUAUUUGGGACUAGGAGAAAGGCUUGAAUUUGGACACAAGAAAGUGGACAAGGCAAUACACAUGAAGCAGAUGAAAGUGUCUUCAUCAGGCAGUUCUUCAGAUUUGAGUGUAUUGCAGAAGAAAGAAACCGGUGGGAUGCUGGUCACAUUGAAAUGGGACAAGAUAAACUCACGCCCAGCCUCAGCAUCGGACAUAAUGGGCUCACCAUCAACAGGAAGAUCUAAGAUGUCAUGUUUGACAUAUUUGGGAAUUGGAAUAAACUUCUUCCUAAUCUGAAUCUCUGAAGCAAGAUCAAAUUUGGACACUACCAUUUGACAAACCUAAGAGGCACCUCUGUCCUCACAAAUUUGAGAAGGCAAUCUGCCCUGUAGCUCUGAAGAACACGGACUUGCCUAAGAGACAAGCCACCAAUAACAGUGGAGAACAACUUGCCAGAGUAUCUAGUGAAUGUAGUGGCUACAGAAAAAUCAGAAGACCUCUUGCGCUUCUACAACACAACAAGAAACACAAACAAAAGAAAAAAUCAAGAUAAUUUACAUUAAAAAGAAACAAAAGAAAGACAUCUAGCAACAACAACUAGAACUAUAUGGAACUAGGUUCUUGUGCAUCAAUGGCCAUUCCACAAAAAAUAGAUAUGAUGAAGAUUACAAAAGGAACUAUCUAAAACUUAUAUCCAUAUCUAUCAUAGAGAAGUUGCAUGCAAAAAAAGGAAAUAUAAACAAAAAAAAUAAAAUACCACAUUCCGAGCUCCAGC